AUUGAACGCUGGUGGAAUGCUUUACACAUGCAAGUCGAACGGUAGAGGGGGCAACCCCUCGAGAGUGGCGAACGGGUGAGUAAUAUAUCGGAACGUGCCCAGUCGUGGGGGAUAACGUAGCGAAAGUUACGCUAAUACCGCAUACGAUCUAAGGAUGAAAGCGGGGGAUCGCAAGACCUCGCGCGAUUGGAGCGGCCGAUAUCAGAUUAGGUAGUUGGUGGGGUAAAGGCUCACCAAGCCAACGAUCUGUAGCUGGUCUGAGAGGACGACCAGCCACACUGGAACUGGGACACGGUCCAGACUCCUACGGGAGGCAGCAGUGGGGAAUUUUGGACAAUGGACGAAAGUCUUAUCCAGCCAUUCCGCGUGCAGGAUGAAGGCCCUCGGGUUGUAAACUGCUUUUGUACGGAACGAAAAGGUCUCUCUUAAUACGGGGGGCUCAUGACGGUACCGUAAGAAUAAGCACCGGCUAACUACGUGCCAGCCGCCGCAGUAA
rnacentral:rRNA from 1 species